UAGGGAAUCUUCGCCAAUGGGGGCAACCCUGACCGAGCAACGCCGCGUGAGUGAAGAAGGUUUUCGGAUCGUAAAGCUCUGUUGUAAGAGAAGAACGUGUGUGAGAGUGGAAAGUUCACACAGUGACUGUAACUUACCCGAAAGGGCCGGCUAACUACGCGUCAGCAGCCGCGUUAAUACGUAGGUCCCGAGCGUUGUCCGGAUUUAUUGGGCGUAAAGCGAGCGCAGGCGGUUUAAUUAGUCUGAAGUUAAAGGCAGUGGCUUAACCAUUGUUCGCUUUGGAAACUGUAAAACUAGAGUGCAGAAGGGGAGAGUAGAAUUCCAUGUGUAGCGGUGAAAUGCGUAGAUAUAUGGAGGAACACAGGUGGCAAAAGAGGAUCUCUGGUCUGUAACUUACGCUGAGGCUCGAACGCGUGAGGAGCAAACAGG
rnacentral:rRNA from 1 species